AACGAACGCUGGUGGCGUGCUUAACACAUGCAAGUCGAACGAGAAAGUUUCCUUCGGGAAAUUAGUAAAGUGGCGCAAGGGUGAGUAACACGUGAAUAAUCUGCCCUCGAGAUUGGGAUAACAUGGUGAAAACUAUGCUAAUACCGAAUAAGACCACAUUUCAUAAGAAAUGCGGAAAAAGAAGUCUCAACCUUCACUUGAGGAUGAGUUCGCGGAACAUUAGCUUGUUGGUGAGAUAAAAGCUCACCAAGGCUACGAUGUUUAGCCGGCCUGAGAGGGUGAUCGGCCACACUGGAACUGAGACACGGUCCAGACUCCUACGGGAGGCAGCAGUGGGGAAUAUUGCGCAAUGGGCGAAAAGCCUGACGCAGCAACGCCGUGUGAGCGAUG
rnacentral:rRNA from 1 species